AUAGCUUGCAAACAAAGAAUCCGUUCUCCAGCAUAUGAAGAUCAAAUGAUGAUAUUCCCCAUCGAGUUUUGAUAAAUGAGGAUAGUGGGUAAUAAGAUGUUUUGAGACCUACCACAUAGCCAACAAUCGCCAUAGACCAUGUCUCAAUAAGCUCUGCUGAAUCAGCAGUCUCGUAUACAACAAUCUUCUUAUCAGCCUGAACUUCUGGAGUAAAGAAUUCCAAGCUUAGAU
rnacentral:lncRNA from 1 species